rnacentral:tRNA from 1 species
GCGCUGGUGGUUCAGCGGUAGACUUACUGCCUUCUAUGUGGGAGACCCAGGUUCGUUUCCUGGUCAACGCA